UAGGGAAUCUUCGGCAAUGGACGAAAGUCUGACCGAGCAACGCCGCGUGAGUGAAGAAGGUUUUCGGAUCGUAAAACUCUGUUGUUAGAGAAGAACAAGGACGUUAGUAACUGAACGUCCCCUGACGGUAUCUAACCAGAAAGCCACGGCUAACUACGUGCCAGCAGCCGCGGUAAUACGCAGGUGGCAAGCGUUGUCCGGAUUUAUUGGGCGUAAAGCGAGCGCAGGCGGUUUCUUAAGUCUGAUGUGAAAGCCCCCGGCUCAACCGGGGAGGGUCAGUGGAAACUGGGAGACUUGAGUGCAGAAGAGGAGAGUGGAAUUCCCUGUGUAGCGGUGAAAUGCGUAGAUAUAUGGAGGAACACCAGUGGCGAAGGCGGCUCUCUGGUCUGUAACUGACGCUGAGGCUCGAAAGCGUGGGGAGCAAACAGG
rnacentral:rRNA from 1 species